CUACGGAGGGGGUUAGCGUUGUUCGGAAUUACUGGGCGUAAAGCGUACGUAGGCGGAUCGGAAAGUAAGGGGUGAAAUCCCAGGGCUCAACCCUGGAACUGCCUCUUAAACUCCCGGUCUUGAGUUCGAGAGAGGUGAGUGGAAUUCCUAGUGUAGAGGUGAAAUUCGUAGAUAUUAGGAGGAACACCAGUGGCGAAGGCGGCUCACUGGCUCGAUACUGACGCUGAGGUACGAAAGUGUGGGGAGCAAACAGGAUUAGAUACCCUAGUAGUCC
rnacentral:rRNA from 1 species